AGGGAGAGGAAAUAUGGAACAGAAGGCAGGGUUUCAGUGGGAGGGGGGGAAAGAGCUCUGCAGUCCUUCUCUUGGCAGUAGUGCAUGGAGAAACCUGCGGGGAGGAAGAGGAAGUUGAGAGGGAGAGUUAGCCUUGGGAUCCUCUCCUGGGUAGAGAACUCUGGCAAGAGAUCAGGAAAGACAGAAAAUCUAUCAGUGUGCCACAGAGUCUAGAGAUGCCCUUUGGGGAGGCAAACCAGAAGGCUCACACCUCUGGGGUGGAGCUCUAGGAGCGGAUAUGUCUAAGCUACUCUGGUAUCUUGGCAGCAGGAGGGAGUGCCGAUCCUGCAGGCGGGUUGUGGGGUUCCGUUGCUGUGAAGAAGUGACAGACUGAGUUGGUACCAGAGAAGCAUAGGGAGGAAACAGUGCUGUAACCAAAGAAGAUUAAAACACCUGGCUGGAUGUCCUCCGAGUAAGCUGGUGAGCCACCAGCAGGGAGAAUAGGAUCAACUCUCUGACACUGACAUGCUGUACCCAGUACAACUCUGGGGGUGGCAGUAAGUCACCUUUCCAUUAUCCCAAGUCCAGGGCAACUGGGUGGCAGGGUGGUCCCCGGUGCCAGACAGAGCAGUCUCAGAGCUGCUGUUACAUGGGGCUGCCUGUGACCCCGUAACAUCAUCUCUUCAUGAAAUGUGGCUGCUGCCUCAGUUUCCUGGCUUGAUUGCUUGGUUUAGCUAGCAGGCUAAACUGGUCAACUGCACAUCUUACAGUCCCAAAUAAUAGGAAAACCUUUAUAGUCUCCUCUCCCUUAGGGGUCUCUUGAGGGUACACCAAUCUUUACCCUUCUCUAGGUGUAGCAGCAACACUCUCUGCUGGUCACUCAGAAUUAAAGGGGUACAUGUGCUCCAGGUUUGGGACCUUGACAUAAAUAAAGCUGACACUAGGCCUGA